UACAGAGGUCUCAAGCGUUGUUCGGAUUCAUUGGGCGUAAAGGGUGCGUAGGUGGCGGGGUAAGUUGGAUGUGAAAUCCCGGGGCUCAACCCCGGAACUGCAUUCAAUACUGCCUUGCUAGAGUACUGGAGAGGAGAUUGGAAUUUACGGUGUAGCAGUGAAAUGCGUAGAUAUCGUAAGGAAGACCAGUGGCGAAGGCGGAUCUCUGGACAGUUACCGACACUGAGGCACGAAGGCCCAGGGGGAGCAAACGGG
rnacentral:rRNA from 1 species